GACGAACGCUGGCGGCGUGCUUAACACAUGCAAGUCGAACGGAAAGGCCUGCUUUCCCUUGUGGAUUGCGGGUACUCGAGUGGCGAACGGGUGAGUAACACGUGAGUGAUCUGCCCCCAACUUGGGUAUAAGCCUGGGAAACUGGGUCUAAUUCCCGAUAGGACUGCAGGGUGGUGCCGGGGGUUGAAAACGAGUUUCUAGUGGUUGGGGAUGAGCUCGCGGCCUGUCAGCUUGGUGGUGGGGGAAUGGCCUACCAAGGCGGCGACGGGGAGCCGGCCUGGGAGGGUGGACGGCCACAUUGGGACUGAGAUACGGCCCAGACUCCGACGGGAGGCAGCAGUGGGGAAUAUUGCACAAUGGGCGGAAGCCUGAUGCAGCGACGCCGCGUGGGGGAUGACGGCCUUCGGGUUGUAAACUCCUUUCGACCGCGAGGAAGCCACCUGGUUGGAAGGGUGGUGACGGUAGUGGUAGAAGAAGCACCGGCUAACUACGUG
rnacentral:rRNA from 1 species